rnacentral:tRNA from 1 species
GCGGGCGUAGCUCAGAUGGUAGAGCAUCAGCUUCCCAAGCUGAGGGUCGCGGGUUCGAGUCCCGUCGCCCGCUCCA